GUGCCAGCAGCCGCGGUAACACGUAGGGAGCAAGCGUUGUCCGGAUUUAUUGGGCGUAAAGAGCUCGUAGGCGGUUCGAUAAGUCAGGUGUGAAAACUCUGGGCUCAACUCAGAGACGCCACUUGAUACUGUCGUGACUGGAGUCUGGUAGGGGAGUGUGGAAUUCCCGGUGUAGCGGUGAAAUGCGCAGAUAUCGGGAGGAACACCAGUGGCGAAGGCGGCACUCUGGGCCAGUACUGACGCUGAGGAGCGAAAGCGUGGGGAGCGAACAGGAUUAGAUACCCUGGUAGUCC
rnacentral:rRNA from 1 species